CUCUCUCCGAAAGACAGAACUCUCCUCCCUCUCUCCACUUCUCUCUCUCUGCCUACCCCUUUCUUCCAAUUCCUACCAAAUUCAUCAACAAAUUCAUUCCUAAUAAACAUGCAAGCUUGGAAACUUAAUCUUGGUAGCAACUCGGUUGUAUACAGCACCUGAGAUAUUGUUUGAAUGUGGCCAAUAUUCAACUCCAAUUGAUAUUUGGUCUGUGGACUGUAUUUUUGGUGAGAUGGUACUUGCACAACCAAUUCUCCGAGCAAUUGAUUGCAAGGAUGAACAAGAGACGAUUUUCAGGCUAUGAAGGUGGAAAACAUGAUAAAAUUGAAGGAGGAAUUUGAUUACAAAAGCUUAUCAAGAAGGCUAGACAUAGAAUUAGAUAAACUCAUAAUGGAACAUGAAAGACAGCAGAAGUGAUUUGAGGAUGACAUUAAGGAACCGGGGACUAUACAUUUGAAAGAAUACUACGUCUUGGGGGUCCAUUGGUGAAGGAAAACAUCGCAACCAUGGUGGUUCUUGAGAGGUUAGAGUCACUUUUUAACGAUCUUUACUUUGAAACUAAAUGAACCAACCUUUUUAUUUAAACAAGGUCAUUUAAUAUAUGUUAUGUAUUACUGAAAUAUGCAACUGCGGUCGAUUCUAUGGACAAAGACGUCAUGUGCUGCAGCGUGGUGCAACUUUUGUGUGUCACUGACUUCCUUCAAUUAGGAAGAGCAACCAUUGAAGAGGCACGCAGUCUGUUACACUGGUUGGACUUUGAGGCAGGUUUCGGCAAGAUGGGUGUAUUGAAUUAGUGAACUUGCAAAUUUAUAAUUUUCUCUAUGUUUUUUCAUACUUAUUAGUUGUUGUGAAAAUGAAAACAUGAGAAGUAAAUAGGCCUUAAAUUAUUGUUUGUGGAAUAGAAUGGCAUCACAGAACUGUUUCUAAAUAAUUGUCUUCUCUGUAACCAAAA